GAUGAACGCUGGCUACAGGCUUAACACAUGCGAGUCGAGGGGAAACGACGGGGAAGCUUGCUUCCCCGGGCGUCGACCGGCGCACGGGUGAGUAACGCGUAUCCAACCUGCCUCUGACUGAGGGAUAACCCGUCGAAAGUCGGCCUAAUACCCCAUGGCAUCGUCUGCGGGCAUCCAACGACGAUUAAAGAUUUCAUCGGGCAGAGAUGGUGAUGCGUCUGAUUAGCUUGUUGGCGGGGUAACGGCCCACCAAGGCGCCGAUCAGUAGGGGUUCUGAGAGGAAGGUCCCCCACAUUGGAACUGAGACACGGUCCAAACUCCUACGGGAGGCAGCAGUGAGGAAUAUUGGUCAAUGGGCGAGAGCCUGAACCAGCCAAGUAGCGUGCAGGAUGACGGCCCUAUGGGUUGUAAACUGCUUUUAUGCGGGGAUAAAGUGAGGGACGUGUCCUUCAUUGCAGGUACCGCAUGAAUAAGGACCGGCUAAUUCCGUG
rnacentral:rRNA from 1 species